rnacentral:rRNA from 1 species
ACUCAAAUGAAUUGACGGGGGCCCGCACAAGCGGCGGAGCAUGUGGAUUAAUUCGAUGCAACGCGAAGAACCUUACCUGGGUUUGACAUGCACAGGACGGCAUCAGAGAUGGUGUUUCCCUUGUGGCCUGUGUGCAGGUGGUGCAUGGCUGUCGUCAGCUCGUGUCGUGAGAUGUUGGGUUAAGUCCCGCAACGAGCGCAACCCUUGUCUCAUGUUGCCAGCGGUUCGGCCGGGGACUCGUGAGAGACUGCCGGGGUCAACUCGGAGGAAGGUGGGGAUGACGUCAAGUCAUCAUGCCCCUUAUGUCCAGGGCUUCACACAUGCUACAAUGGCCGGUACAAAGGGCUGCGAUGCCGUGAGGUUAAGCGAAUCCUUGUAAAGCCGGUCUCAGUUCGGAUCGGGGUCUGCAACUCGACCCCGUGAAGUCGGAGUCGCUAGUAAUCGCAGAUCAGCAACGCUGCGGUGAAUACGUUCCCGGGCCUUGCACACACCGCCCGU